AAUUCACGAAAAACCUAGCUCCUGGUUUUUGGUGGUUUAAACCCCCUCCUGGUUUAAACCCCGAGCUGGGUUUUUCAUUUACGUUUCACGAAAGAGGUUUAAACCUCGAGGGGGUUUAAAUGCGUCAUAAAACGUCAUGAAACGUCAUAUUUUUUAGUCUGCUCUUAGAUGUGGUUUAAACCAUGGUUUAAUUUUACGAGCAUGCGCACUUGAGGAGUUUGAGAAAAAUCCGUGAAGCGAAGAAAAUUUUUCUUGCGGUCCUGGACCUGACAAGUGGUCUUCUUGAUUAGAAAUUCAAUUACAUCGGCAUCAGAGGUACCAUACAGUGUAGGUCUCUAUGGAUUAUCUCCAUCUUCUUCACAGCUUUAAAUUACUAAGAGCUACCUUUCCCAAGACAUUGUGGGCUUCAUGAUGCUAAAAAUCCAUCGAAAUCGUACAAGGAUGGGCCAUCUCGAGAUCAGUAUCGACUGUCAAAAGAAACCGUCACCAUAAUAUGCUGGAAGCCGAAAUGAAGAGGGACACACAGCUCAGAGGAUAGAUCAACUUCCUGUUUAUUUGCAGGUGUUGACAACUCUCCAUUUUUAUGCAGUGGGUAAGUAAUUUAAUUUUUCAUAAACUAUUAUUGAA